rnacentral:tRNA from 1 species
GCCCUAGUAGCUUAAUUUUCAAAGCAUCGGUCUUGUAAUCCGAAGAUCGGAGGCGAAACUCCUCCCUAGCGCC